UACAGAGGGUGCGAGCGUUGUCCGGAAUCACUGGGCGUAAAGGGCGCGUAGGUGGUGGCUUAAGCGUGCGGUGAAAGCUCGGGGCUCAACUCCGAGUCGGCCGUGCGAACUGGGCUCACUGGAGCAUAGUAGAGGCAGGUGGAACUCCGGGUGUAGCGGUGGAAUGCGUAGAGAUCCGGAAGAACACCGGUGGCGAAGGCGGCCUGCUGGGCUAUGGCUGACACUGAGGCGCGACAGCGUGGGGAGCAAACAGG
rnacentral:rRNA from 1 species